rnacentral:lncRNA from 1 species
UUCUGACUUUUUGUAGGGUAAUUAUCAUUGAUUCGAGUAGCGUUGCCAUGUAAAAUGAACAUUUAGAAUGUCUUUUUCAGUAUUAACAAUGGUCCUACCCAAAAAAAGAGGUAAAUUGAAUCUAGGAGUGAACGACUCUAGAAAAAAUCGGUUUUUAAUUUGAAAAAAAAUCCUUGGGUCCGGGAUAACUUUGUUGCGUCAAAGCUCUAAAAUCGAAAUGGUCAGUUCUUCGCCUUAUAUAAUUUUCAUUGAACUAUUU